rnacentral:rRNA from 1 species
UACGGGGGGGGCAAGCGUUGUUCGGAAUUACUGGGCGUAAAGGGCUCGUAGGCGGCCAACUAAGUCAGACGUGAAAUCCCUCGGCUUAACCGGGGAACUGCGUCUGAUACUGGAUGGCUUGAGAUUGGGAGAGGGAUGCGGAAUUCCAGGUGUAGCGGUGAAAUGCGUAGAUAUCUGGAGGAACACCAGCGGCGAAGGCGACUUCCUGGCCUGUUCUUGACGCUGAGGCGCGAAAGCUAGGGGAGCAAACGGG